rnacentral:rRNA from 1 species
AACUAACCAGGAUUCUCUUAGUAACGGCGAGUGAAAAGAGAAGAGCCCAGCACCGAAGCCUGUGGUCAUUUGACUAUUGGGCAAUGUGGUGUUUAGGUAUCAUCAUCGGGGUCGUUGCUCUGCUCAAAGUCCUAUUCGGUAUAUGGUAAUAUGGACGCAGGCCACAGAGGGUGAAAGUCCCGUGUGAGCAGAGAUCUCAGCAGCGGCUUCUUGAUGUUACCUUGGAGUCGGGUUGUUUGAAAAUGCAGCCCGAAGCGGGUGGUAAACUCCAUCCAAGGCUCAAUACUGGCACGAGUCCGAUAGCAAACAAGUACCGUGAGGGAAAGUUGAAAAGUACUCUGAAGAGAGAGUAAACAGUACGUGAAACCGCUCAGAGGUAAACGGGUAGAUCACAACUGCAAGUUUGUGAGAUUCAGCUGUCGAGCUUUGGCUUAAUGCUCGGUAUGGGUCGGCCGUAGAGGUACGCCGCACGGUGUGUCUUCGCCUUCGGGUGAUGAUGUGUCUUGCACUUGGCAUGUGUAUCCCGCUUCUACGGUUAGUGAUCCGCUCGGCAGUGCACUUCUCACAAGAAGUCACCACGACCGGGGCGUGGCUGUCUAUCUGUCGUAACAAUGGCGUGGCAUUCGCUGAGCCGGUUGCGAUGGAGUUGUACAGUGCUUCGGAGACGGCGGCUUUCCAAGCCAAAAGUCUGUGGUGUAGUGGUACGCUCUCUACCCGACCCGUCUUGAAACACGGACCAAGGAGUUCAACAUGCGCGCGAGUCAAAGGGUACUCGAAACCCAGAGGCGGAGUGAAAGUGAAGGUCUUCGGACUGAGGUGAGAUCCUGAAGAUUCCCAAUGAUCGAUCUGAGCAAUGGUGCGACAGGCGCAUCACCGGCCCGUCCCUAUGGUGUUCGCGUAGCAGUCACCGGGGCGGAGCAUGAGCGUGUACGUUAAGACCCGAAAGAUGGUGAACUAUGCUUGUGUAGGUUGAAGCCAGAGGAAACUCUGGUGGAGGACCGAAGCGAUUCUGACGUGCAAAUCGAUCGUCAAACGUGAGUAUAGGGGCGAAAGACCA